UACGGAGGGUGCAAGCGUUGUUCGGAAUCAUUGGGCGUAAAGCGCGUGUAGGCGGCUUGGCAAGUCAGUUGUGAAAGCCCGGGGCCCAACCCCGGAACUGCAUCUGAAACUGCCUAGCUAGAGUCCCGGAGAGGAAGGCAGAAUUCCCGGUGUAGGGGUGAAAUCAGUAGAUAUCGGGAGGAAUACCAGCGGCGAAGGCGGCCUUCUGGACGGUGACUGACGCUGAGACGCUAAAUCGUGGGGAGCAAACAGG
rnacentral:rRNA from 1 species